UACGGAGGGGGCAAGCGUUGUUCGGAGUUACUGGGCGUAAAGCGCGCGUAGGCGGUGCGGUAAGUCAGGGGUUAAAGGCUGCAGCUCAACUGCAGUAAGGCCUUUGAUACUAUCGCGCUAGAGUACCAGAGAGGAUGGCGGAAUUCCCGGUGUAGCGGUGAAAUGCGUAGAUAUCGGGGGGAACACCAGUAGCGAAGGCGGCCAUCUGGCUGGUAACUGACGCUGAGGUGCGAGAGCGUGGGGAGCAAACAGG
rnacentral:rRNA from 1 species